CACUAAGUGCAUCGGUUCAGGCAGUGCUAAGGCCAUAGAGUCUGCAGGGUUGCAUGAUAGUGCUAAUCUGCUGUAACCUAUUCUAGGUUUGAGACAGAUAAGAUCUUUCAAGAAGAUAUCUGGGGGCAACCUCAUCCAGAAUACUGUCUGAAAGGCCAUGUAGGAAGACAUCCACAAAUGCCGGAUUAUUCCAUCUUACUUCUGCUACUAAAGAUAUGAAUUCUAAGGCAUGAUCAACUAAGGAUUUAAUGCGAAGAAGUGAUCUGGCAGCGUUUGCCUUUCUACCAGGAAGAUCAAAUGUCCUCCUAAAAUUAUUGCUAAAAGCAUCACAAUUGUAGACC